GAUGAACGCUGGCGGCGUGCUUAACACAUGCAAGUCGAACGGAAAGGCUCCUGCUUGCAGGGGUACUCGAGUGGCGAACGGGUGAGUAACACGUGGGUGAUCUGCCCUGCACUUCGGGAUAAGCCUGGGAAACUGGGUCUAAUACCGGAUAGGACGAUGGUUUGGAUGCCAUUGUGGAAAGUUUUUCGGUGUGGGAUGAGCUCGCGGCCUAUCAGCUUGUUGGUGGGGUAAUGGCCUACCAAGGCGUCGACGGGUAGCCGGCCUGAGAGGGUGUACGGCCAUAUUGGGACCGAGUUUCGGCUCAGACUCCCAGGGGCAGCAGCAGUGGGGAAUAAUGCACAAUGGGCGGAACGCUGCUGCAGCGUAGCCGCGUGGGAGAUAACGGCAUUCUGGUUGUAAGCUUCUUUUGCUAGGGACGAAGCGCAAGUGACGGUACCUGGAGAAGAAGCACCGGCUAAAUACGUG
rnacentral:rRNA from 1 species